UACGAAGGGUGCAAACGUUGCUCGGAAUUAUUGGGCGUAAAGCGCACGUAGGCGGCUUAGCAAGUUGGAUGUGAAAUCCCUCGGCUCAACCAAGGAAGUGCAUCCAAAACUGCUGAGCUUGAGUACUAAAGAGGAUCGCGGAAUUCCCGGUGUAGAGGUGAAAUUCGUAGAUAUCGGGAGGAACACCUAUGGCGAAGGCAGCUCGCUGGGACGUUACUGACGCUGAGACGCGAAAGCGUGGGGAGCAAACAGG
rnacentral:rRNA from 1 species